UCAAACGUCAGAACCACUGAAGGGAAAGUAGAGGAAUGGAAAGAUGAUUUAACUGGCUGCCAGUGCAUGGACUCUGAUGAAAGGGUGAGAUGCCCAGUCUCCAGGUCCAGUGAGAAUUAAAGGAACAUGAGGAAGUUAAUCGCUCUCCAUGAUGCAUAAGUACAUUCGUCAUUUUCCAUGGAGCGUGAUUAGAACUCCAGGUAGCCUCUGGAUACCAUCUAAGAAUACCUUCUGCCAACAUGCUGUUGCAUGUAGUUUGUGUGGAGACAUUGGGAAAUAUUCAUCUUUGCUCAACUAAUUCUGGAAGCCCCCUGAUGCAGCAUCCUUUCUAAGUUCACCAUCAGAGAAUCCAGUCAGCAGUCUCUGGCCCUUUCAACUUGCCAGGUGGUAUUCCAGAGAAGAGAGAGAGAACUUCCAUCUGUGGGAUUAAGGCCUGGUUCAUGGAGAAGAUGUCACUUAUUCUGAAGCUUGGAGCAGAAGUACAAGUUGGACUUGUGAAAAUAUAGGAAAAGAAAUCCCAAGAAAAGGAAACAACAUGAACAAAGGAACUAAUUUAGUGUUGGAAAUAAAAGAAAAAAAAUUACAAAACGAUGUGGUUCUUGGACAUGAUAACAUCAAGAGGUAAGUGACAGACUGCAUCCUUUAUAGAUUUAUGGGAAACAAUCAGAUCUCUAGCUGAGGGGCAAACUACAGCCCGAAGUCUAAAUUUGUCUCUGCCUAUUUUUGUUAAAAAGGGUUCAUUGGGACACAGUCAUGCUCAUUCCUUAAUUUACUGUCUAUGGAUGCUUUCAACUACAACCACAGAGUUGAGAAUAAUUGUGAAGCCUGGAAUACUUGG